GGUAGCCAUAGUUCAGUGGUAGAACCCCCGUAUGUGGCAUGGGAUGCUUGAGUUCGAAUCUCAAUGGUUACC
rnacentral:tRNA from 1 species